GACGAACGCUGGCGGCGUGCUUAACACAUGCAAGUCGAACGGAAAGGCCCUGCUUUUGUGGGGUGCUCGAGUGGCGAACGGGUGAGUAACACGUGAGUAACCUGCCCUUGACUUUGGGAUAACUUCAGGAAACUGGGGCUAAUACCGGAUAGGAGCUCCUGCUGCAUGGUGGGGGUUGGAACGUUUCGGCGGUUGGGGAUGGACUCGCGGCUUAUCAGCUUGUUGGUGGGGUAGUGGCUUACCAAGGCUUUGACGGGUAGCCGGCCUGAGAGGGUGACCGGCCACAUUGGGACUGAGAUACGGCCCAGACUCCUACGGGAGGCAGCAGUGGGGAAUAUUGCACAAUGGGCGGAAGCCUGAUGCAGCAACGCCGCGUGCGGGAUGACGGCCUGCGGGUUGUAAACCGCUUUCGCCUGUGACGAAGCGUGAGUGACGGUAAUGGGUAAAGAAGCACCGGCUAACUACGUG
rnacentral:rRNA from 1 species